GACGAACGCUGGCGGCGUGCUUAACACAUGCAAGUCGAACGGAAAGGCCCUGCUUUUGUGGGGUGCUCGAGUGGCGAACGGGUGAGUAACACGUGAGUAACCUGCCCUUGACUUUGGGAUAACUUCAGGAAACUGGAGCUAAUACCGGAUAGGAGCUCCUGCUGCAUGGUGGGGGUUGGAAAGUUUCGGCGGUGGGGGAUGGACUCGCGGCUUAUCAGCUUGUUGGUGGGGUAGUGGCUUACCAAGGCUUUGACGGGUAGCCGGCCUGAGAGGGUGACCGGCCACAUUGGGACUGAGAUACGGCCCAGACUCCUACGGGAGGCAGCAGUGGGGAAUAUUGCACAAUGGGCGGAAGCCUGAUGCAGCAACGCCGCGUGCGGGAUGACGGCCUUCGGGUUGUAAACCGCUUUCGCCUGUGACGAAGCGUGAGUGACGGUAAUGGGUAAAGAAGCACCGGCUAACUACGUG
rnacentral:rRNA from 1 species